UACGUAGGGUGCAAGCGUUGUCCGGAAUUAUUGGGCGUAAAGAGCUUGUAGGCGGUUUGUCGCGUUGUCCGUGAAAACUCACAGCUCAACUGUGGGCGUGCGGGCGAUACGGGCAGACUGGAGUACUGCAGGGGGAGACUGGAAUUCCUGGUGUAGCGGUGGAAUGCGCAGAUAUCAGGAGGAACACCGGUGGCGAAGGCGGGUCUCUGGGCAGUAACUGACGCUGAGGAGCGAAAGCGUGGGGGAGCGAACAGG
rnacentral:rRNA from 1 species